ensembl:lncRNA
GAUCAUUCUGUGCAUGUGUGCAUCAGGAAGAUUAUUUUUGUCUGUUACAGAUCUUCGUAGGAUGAGCCAACGAAACGAGAUUGAUCUGAUUGAUCAGCAUCAUAAGAGUUUGAUGUGAAAGUGACUCACAUGCAGCAGUCUGCAGCAGCAGCAGCAUCAGUCCAAAGAUGAGCAUCAUUUCUCUAAAGUCCAGUUUCAGAAGAACUCAAUCCCAGCAGAAGAGUGUGACGCUGCUUCAGAUCGUCUGUGUUCUGGCUCUCAUCAAGACAGCGUCUUCACGGCGAGACUCACACUGGACUGACACACGAG